rnacentral:misc_RNA from 1 species
CUUUUUUUCAAGAUUUUGAGGAGGUGGACUGGUUUAUUACGUGUAAAAUGCAUGAUUUAUUACAUGAUCUAGCAUUAUCAUUGACGCAAAAUGAAUUUUCAACAAUAAUCUCAACCACCACACACAUCUCCAAGAGCGUCCGCCAUCUGUUAUUUCCCGGGUUUACUUCGCUUCCCGCCCUCUCACAAUAUUUAGAGCAAGUGCGAACUGCUGUAUUUAUGAUAACUGAGGAAAACAGUCAAUCAGCCUUGGAUUUAUG